rnacentral:tRNA from 1 species
GUUGUAGCUUAGUGGUAGAGCACUUGCCUAAUAUGUACAAGGCUCUGGGUUCCAUCCCCAGCACAAACA